rnacentral:tRNA from 1 species
GCCUGGGUGGCUCAGUUGGUUGAGCGUCCGACUUCGGCUCAGGUCAUGAUCUCGCGGUCCGUGGGUUCAAGCCCCGCAUCGGGCU